UUGAAAACAAAUGUUAUCCAGGUUUAAUAUGAUUUCAUCGACAUUGAUGUGAUUUCGUAUUUAAAGAGAUGAUCAGGAUAGCUUACCAAUAAUAAAAUGCGCGGCAUACUGAUUUUCUGCAUUAUGAUACUUGCUGUGUCAGGAACUACUCCUAAUCCGAGGGCCGGAGCCGCGUGUCGCUGUGCGAUAUCUUGCGGUUCCUCUGAAUGUUAUGCCGGAAGAUGUAUCGGCGCCCCUUCGAUAAGGUUUGGAUGGUGCUGCAAUAGGGGACAUCCGAGAUGUCACUGAAAUACUGCAUGUGACCGCUUGCAGCUGAGAUUUUGUCAAAGAUUAUGUGCUAUAAUUACACCUUGCUUAAACUGUAAUUGAGACGUGUUAUAAGUGAUAAAAAACAACAACUUAUUAUCAUUUGCUUAUAGCAAAUAUCACAAUACGCAAUUUUAAUAAUGCAUACUACCUUUUUUCUCAAUUCAUUGAACUAUUAACGCAAUGCUAUUCAAUUGGUUUUGCUUGUAAGAGUUUAUAUUUGUGUGCACAUUAGAAUGCGCUGAUGUAUGUAAUUGUUUGCUGUAUAAUAUAUUUUUGUGCUUCAUAUUUAUUGAAUAAAUCGCAUUAAAUGCGUUUAAGAUAUGAA